rnacentral:rRNA from 1 species
AUGAUAGAAGAUGAAUGGAAGACCACCAACCAAGCUCGAUUUGAGCAUCGCCGUGAGCUGUUCCCGGUGGUGCAACGGGUUAUCAACUUUAGUCUCAGCCUGCCGCUGUACUAUGGUGAUAGGAAAGAUGCCUUCACAUUCAGCACGCAUCUUGACGGCAUUAUCAAGAGCCUCUUCGUCAAGCCCAUCCCCGUCUAG